CUGAAAUCUUAAUCUCAAAGAUUGUGGCAGCCU
rnacentral:sRNA from 1 species